rnacentral:rRNA from 1 species
AGUUCCGUAGGAUGUUUAGUUCAAUGGUCGAGGGUUAGUCGAUCGAUCUAGUCGUCGUUGUAAAUCUCUUUUCCUUCGUUCUAGCUGCUUAUCAGCAGUGAGCUAGUACCACCACGGCAGCCACAAGCGGCGGAAGCUGCUCCUGCCGCUGCCGUUCCAAAGGCACAGGCUCGAUGCCGCGACGUACCUCCGCUGCGACCCACUCCUGCACAGGCUCCUCCUCCGCCGCCGCCAGGAGCGCCGCCGCCUGCGGCUGCCACUACCCAACGAUUUGGUUCUUCUCAAGAGCUCCGACUGUCGGGAGCCACGGGUCCUUCUCCUGCUACGGCUGCACUUCGCUUCCACGGACUCCCUCCGCAAGCCCUACAUGCGCAGCAGCAGGUGCCUUCUGUGCUAAUGCGGCCGCUCGGACUCCGCCUGCGACUCGUCCGACCCCAGCGUGCUCGACCCGCACCUCCUCACGGCCCGUUACUAGACGUCCAAGCUGGAGCUGCCGCUACCGUUUGAGAGGAAGCUACUCAAGCCCUAGUACUACUACCGGACUAGCAGCUAGAGAGAAGAAGAUCUAUGAUCAUUAAACAUGCACGAAACGUGCAAUCUAAUAAUACACACUAGUGUCAUGAAUUAGUAAAAUUUCAUUUUCAUUUA